AGGGACAGAACUACCGAAACUGUACAGAAACUUAUUCAUGUGUGCUACUACAGCAGCAAGAAUGUUACUUGCCCAAAAGUGGAAAGAAGCAGAAGUCCCAGCAAAGGAAGAAUGGAUACGAAAACGUACGGAAUAUGCAGAAAUGGCGAAACUUAACCGGAAGAAUAAGAAAUCAAGAUAACAAACUUUUUAUAAAAGAAUGGAAAUGGUUUAUGGAAUAUUUACAGAUAAACUGCAAACAGAUAAAAACAUUGUUGUAAUAACCUGCAGUUUCAUAAGAGUAUAUAUUUAAAGAAGAUAAAUGAGCAAAUUAAAUGAAUUUGGAUAUGCAGAAGAUAUUAAAAAAAAUUUUUUUAAAGGAACCUCAGAAAGAGGGGGGAGGAAGUUAAAUUUUGAAAUGUUAAAUUGAUGGUAAAACUAAUAAAAUGUAUAAUAAUAAUAAUAAUAAUAAUAAUAAUAAUAAUAAUAACAACAACGGGAUUGGGGCCAGGUUUUUCUUACUUUCAGUCAAGUCCCACAUUGCACCCAUUUUCUUUCUGUCCCAUAGAAUUUACUGGAAACCAUGAGAAUUCAGCUAGCUCAUCUCUGCAUGUUUCCAGUCUUUUGCAGGUAUAUCUUCCCUGCAUCUUUCUUUCUUUCUUUCUUUCUUUCUUUCUUUCUUUCUUUCUUUCUUUCUUUUUUCUUCUUUUUUUUGGGGGGGGGAUAAGAGGCUGACAGUAAAAGUGCGAUUGAAUUGUAUUGGCAGUUAAAGUGCAAGUGUGUGAUAUGAUAAAAGUUUCUGUUUAUUGAUGAAAUGUUUAUUCUGCUGGAGCUUUUGCCGUUUUCCUGGAUCUCUUAUGGGUUAUUGCAAUGGUUUUAUUGUCAUAUGGAUAAGAUCAAGUUUUGACUUUCAGAUUAUUAUACACUCAGUAAGGCGAAUUUGUGGAGGUUCAAUCUCAUGAUUCCCAUUUGGUUUUAUUGUGAUCUUAGAUGGUGCUUUCUGAGAAACUGCAGUAAAUGGCAGGUAAGACACUUUUGGAAACCAAUAAACUGAACUCACUCUUGAAUAUGAGGCUGGUUAAACAAAAUGGAAAAUUAGCAGUUCCUACAAACUGCAGAAAAAAACAAAAAUACUAGCAGCUUACAUGACCUCAUUAAUUUGCUGAAUGCUCAGCAUAUAUUCUGCUGAAGGAUAAUAUGAAAUAUUUUUAGCACUAAUAAAUCUGAGGUAGAGGGGAAAAAAUAUCCUACCUUUGAAUUACCAUGACUAUAUUUUUGCACUCAUCAGCCAUAUUUUAGUAAAUUGAAGAAAUAUGAACACUGAAGCUUUAAAUCUUAAUUCCAAAUGUAGCCAGCAAGCUGUCCUUUAACUUCAGCACGGCUCCAGGUAGCAAGGCUCUGAGUGCAGGAAUUUUUCAAAUAGGUGUCUUUAAGGCUAGGUUAGAAACAUUCUUCCUAAUAUGCUUCCUUUCCGUAUGAGAUGAGGGAGCAUGAACAAAAAUUGAUCCUCCACAUGCUUUCUGAUGGGGGGGGGGAUCUCCCUAAAAGUCUCAAGAUGCUAUUUUUGAUCUACGUCUUUGUUUUGUUAACUGGUAACAAAAGAAAAACAAUUUCAUAUCUUCUGAUAAAACAGUAUUCACCAUUUUAGUACAAUAGCUAUAAUCGCAAUCUUUCCUGUGAGGCCUGAUCGUCAGAAUUACCAGUGAAAAUAUUGCUUUCCUCCCAUCUGUCUAUAAAUUUAUUCAAUAGCUGUCCUUCUUUCUUCACACUGAAUAAGUUUCAUAAUCUUCCAAACUUGUAGCAACCAAAAAUUAUCUUUAGCAGUUUUCUAUCUGCAAGUUUUUUUCAGAGCACAAUUCUUCAUGACAUGGGAGCUGCAUACAUGGGAUACUGCAAGUGAAAUGCAACCAUGGGGCUGGAUUGAGCCCAUUGUGUUAGAGGAGAGCUGUUUAAACUCUCUCAUUUUCUCCUUGAGCAUACCGUAUUUUUUGCUCUAUAAGACUCACUUUUUCCCUCCUAAAAAGUAAGGGGAAAUGUGUGUGCGUCUUAUGGAGUGAAUGCAGGCUUCGCAGCUAUCCCAGAAGCCAGAACAGCAAGAGGGAUUGCUGCUUUCGCUGCGCAGCAAUCCCUCUUGUUGUUCUGGAUUCUGAAAUUUAGAAUAUUUUUUUUCUUGUUUUCCUCCUCCAAAAACUAGGUGCGUCUUGUGGUCUGGAGCGAAAAAUAUGGUACUUCCUCUGAAGCUUGUCUGCAUCCUGCAAGGGAAAUAGAAGGUACCUAAAACAACAAGGACUCUUGUGGUGCCUUGAAGACUGAUGAAUGGAUAAAAAAAACUUAUGGAAUAUGCAGAAAUGGGGAAACUUACCAGAAGAAUAAGAAAUCAAGAUAACACACUUUUUAUAAAAGAAGGGAAACUGUGGAAUAUUUACAGAUAAAUUGCCAACAGAUUAAAACAUUAGCAGAUGAUUGUAAUAACCUGCAGUUUCCUAAGAGUAUUUAUUUAAAGUAGAUAAUUAAAUGAACAAAUUAAAUGAAUUUGGAUAUGCAGGAUAUAUUAAAAAAUAAAUUUAAGGAACCGCAGAAAGAGGGGGAAGGAAGUCAAACUUUGAAAUGUUAAAUUGAUUGUAAAUCUAAUGAAAUGUAUACACUUGAAAAGUAUAAAUAAAAACUUGAAGACUGA